rnacentral:lncRNA from 1 species
GAAUUAACGAAUGUGAGGUCUCUUUAGCUCCUCCCCGGGAAGCCUUUCCUAAUCUUCCCCAAGCGGCUAGGGCUCACACCUUCCUCAAGGGUUGAGGCACUUCCUUAUCUGGGAACCCCACACUAAUCCACCAGGAAGCGCCUUUGCGGAAGGGAAGGUGGUUGCAUUCUGUUUAUCAGCAGCAUAUGGAGCCACUAGCUCCGGAAUGUUUGAUGGACUUCCGAGUGAAAGGCGGUCGGGACACCAAUUCAAUCCACUAUACUGCCUGUGGGCUGCAAGCACGGGAUUGGGGGGGGGGGGUGCGGGGGCAUAACAGUGAGAGCCAAGAAGCCCAGGGUUCAAGACCUGCACCUGCUUCUGACCCGCACUGGCCGCAGGACCCACUUCGCUCUCAGGGCCCUAGGCAACUCUUGCGGAAAUAUACAACGGAGAAGGGUCCUCCCUGCGCCAGCGGAGAGAGUUUCCUCGCCCGAGAGCUACAGAAAGGAAUCACACAACGAAAACUCCCCGGGAAGAAUCUGGCUCCAGCCGUCUUCUCCAGCCUUGCCUUGCAAUACUGCCCUUCCUGGGCCGUGGGGGGCAGACACAUUGGACUCCCCGCCUGCAUUUGGAGUCAAAGGGACUACCCAACCUGUAUGGACGAGCUUAGGCAGGCCACUGCAGCCCCUGAGCUUCCGGGACUCUGUUUCCUCUCCUACAAAAGGAGGACGCUGGACCCCAUGGUCUGCAAGGUCCCCUCCAGCUCUGAGGUUCUGCCUUUCAAUCCCGAUUCCUGCUCAGGUAAGGGCAAAGGACUCAUGAAGCCACCCUCGAAUCCGGGUAAGCAAAUUUACCUAAUUUCCCUAAUCAGGGGGCAAAGGUGUGGUCUAUUGUUAUCAGUUGUGAAAGUCAGCUCGUUCCCUUUGAAGGCCCUGAUGGAGGUUGCCCUCUGUUCACACAUCGAUGACUCUUACAGUGGUAGAUUAGGCACACAGCCAAAGGUUAGUCGUCAUCUUCGUCCUUCGUUUGUGUUAAAGUUCAAGACACUCAUCACGCCAUUGGCAUCUUGCCUUCCUUUGGGUAAAUAUUAA